AAUCUUCCGCAAUGGGCGCAAGCCUGACGGAGCAACGCCGCGUGAGCGAAGAAGGUCUUCGGAUCGUAAAGCUCUGUCAUACAGGAAGAAGAGCCAUGAGAGGGACCGGUCAUGGAGGGACGGUACAGUAAGAGGAAGCCCCGGCUAACUACGUGCAAGCAGCCGGGGUAAUACGUAGGGGGCAAGCGUUGUCCGGAAUUAUGGGGCGUAAAGCGCGCGCAGGCGGACUGGAAAGUCGGAUGUGAAAUCUCGGGGCUCACCCCCGAGCCUGCAUACGAAACUGACAGACUUGAGAGCAAGAGAGGGGGGGGGGAUUCCUAGUGUAGCUGUGAAAUGCGUAGAUAUUAAGAGGAACACCAGUGGCGAAGGCGACUCCCUGGCUUGCAACUGACGCUGAGGCGCGAAAGCGUGGGUAGCGAACAG
rnacentral:rRNA from 1 species